UACGGAGGGUGCAAGCGUUAUCCGGAUUUACUGGGUUUAAAGGGUGCGUAGGUGGGUCUGUAAGUCAGUGGUGAAAUCUCCGAGCUUAACUCGGAAACUGCCAUUGAUACUAUAGAUCUUGAAUUAUCUGGAGGUGAGCGGAAUAGUCAUGUAGCGGUGAAAUGCUUAGAUAUGACAUAGAACACCAAUUGCGAAGGCAGCUCACUACGGAUUGAUUGACACUGAGGCACGAAAGCGUGGGGAUCAAACAGG
rnacentral:rRNA from 1 species